rnacentral:lncRNA from 10 species
UUUUGAGAAGUUGAAAUUUGAGAAAAGGCCUGAAGGAGCUGAGGAGGUGGGUGAGUCAUGAAUGCAUCUCGGGAAGGAGUUCCCCAGGCUGAGGGAGCUGCACCUGAGGAAACCCAGGAGGCAAAGGUGGUCCUGGUCAGGAUGAUGAGGAGGUCCGUGUGGCUGGAGCAGGUGAGCUAGGUGGAGAGAGGCCGUAGAUGAGGGCAGAGCUGCUGCGGGAGCCAAACGUGUAAGGAUCUUUUCGGGCAGUGAGAGGACGUUGGUUUCUCACAGCAGAGAAGGGACAUCAUCUGACAUAUUUUAAAAGUAUCUCUCCGGCUCCCUUGUGGACUGUAAGGGACCAAGAGUUGAAACAGGCACCCAGGAGGAGUCCUUCCAGCAACUGAGAGGACUUGGUCCGAUUCUACCUCCGGAACAAUGCUCAGCCCACAGCCCUCAUUCCCUCCGUGAUGAACAGUAACUGUGGACUUUUGACCUUCCUCUUGAGCUUGGUCUGAGUCUUGGCAUUUACAACCACGGCUCUAGACAACACCUAUUGGUCCUUUGAAACAACUCUCAGGCUUUACGUUCAUUCUGAAGACUUCCUUUAUGUUGACCUCCAUUCACUGCUACCCAUCCAUUCUUUGCAGAUGUUGAGGCCCUAGACACAGCAGCUUUCUUCAAUCAAGUGGUGAGUCCCUAGAAGACACUUGUCUUUCCUGUA